GCACCUUGCAGCCCCUUCCCAUCCUGGACGACCUAGGGCCGGACCUUCGGACUUCCCUGGGGACCCACUCGUUUACCCGUUCCGCGUUGAGCGCCUAGUCUCUCGCUGGUUUCUCCGGAUCUCUGCCGCUUCUGUUGGCCUUACUAUGAAGGAUGACCUUGAACUGUGAUCUGUCAGUAAACUGUGUUCCCAGCCCUCCUCAGGAAAGUCUUGGAGUAGAUCCAUAGAUGCUUGCACCUCUUUAUAUGACUUUAAACACUAUGAAACAGAAAAAGAAAGAGGAGGAGCUUGGUGACCCACACUUGUAAUCUCAGCACUCAGGAAGCUGAAGCAAGAUAAUCUCAAAUUCAAGUCCAGUCUCAAAGGGAGAGGACACCCCACCAGACACUUUUAUAGCAUGCUUCUCCAUCAACUGAAAGCAUAUUUGCCUCUCACUAAAUAUUCACUGGCCCUUUCAGAGGCAAGAAGAAUGUGUCAAAUCCCCUGGAGCUGAAGUUACAGGAAGUUGUGAGCUACCUGAUGCAGAUACUAGGAACCAAACGCCCAUCUUCUGCAAGAGCAGCAAGCAUUCUUUGCCACUGAGCCAUCUCUCCAGCUUGACCUUAAGAACCCCCCAAGUGAGUCUUUCCUUUCUGGUCUCCUGUCCUCUGCUCCCCUGUGGGCAGCAUUCACUGGAACAAGAUGGUCACAGCCACAGAAUUUGUCCAUGGGAUCUCUGUGUGUGUCCAACAUUUUUCUCCUCUAAGCCGAGAUUAAAACAUCACACCAACUGCAGGUUCCAACUCGAGUGCAGAGAGGAGGGAAUUGUCAUACAGGCGUGCAGUGAAUGACGUGGAAAGUCAGCGUCAUGAGAAAUUUUCUGUCCUGUUCACUGCUGUGUUUCCAACACUCAGCCCAUGGUUGCCUGACAUACAAUCAAUACUCAGUAAAGACUUUUUUUGACUAAAUGUAUUAAUCCAAAAAACACAUUUCAAGGUUAUGUUUGUUCUGAGACAGUGUGAAAAUGUAACUUUUCUGCCCUGGGACAUUUGCCAUGAAAGAAGAGGUGUGAUCUCCUGCCUCUGAUUGACGGCUUCCUUUCUAGGACAUCUAGGAAGAAGACUCCUCCUACAGAAUUCUGGACUACUUUGGAAGAAAACUCAAGACAUCUUGAACUUGGAACCUGAUCACUAAGGGACAAACUCUUAGUUGAUGUACUGGUUAGUUUUGUUUUGUAUUUAUUUAUUUAUUUAUUUAUUUAUUUAUUUAUUUAUUUAUUUAUUCUGUUAACUUGAUACAAGUUAAAACCAUCUAGGAAGAGGGAAUCUCAUUGAGAACUUGUCUGUAUCAUACUGGUUUUUAGGGAAAUCGUACUGGUUUUUAGGGAAGUCUGUGAAGCCUUUUUCUUUAUUAAUAAUUGAUGUGGGAGGGUCUAGCCCACUGCGGGUAGCACCACCCUUGGACAGGUGUAAUAAAGGUAAUUGAGCAAGUCAAGAAGCAGAGUUCCCCCAAUGUUUUUGCUUCAAUUCCUGCCUCCAGAUUCCUGCCUUGAGUUUGUGUCUUGGCUUCCCUUAGUGAUGGAUUGUGAUAUAGAAGUGUGAGCCCAAGCCCAAUAAAGCU